rnacentral:tRNA from 1 species
CGGACAGAAGCCCGCUGGAUAGGGUGUUUAGCUGUUAACUAAUUUUUUGUGGGAUCAAGGCCCUCCUGUCUAG